UACGUAGGGCGCAAGCGUUGUCCGGAAUUAUUGGGCGUAAAGAGCUCGUAGGCGGUUUGUCGCGUCUGCUGUGAAAUCCCGAGGCUCAACCUCGGGCUUGCAGUGGGUACGGGCAAGCUAGAGUGUGGUAGGGGAGAUCGGAAUUCCUGGUGUAGCGGUGAAAUGCGCAGAUAUCAGGAGGAACACCGGUGGCGAAGGCGGAUCUCUGGGCCAUUACUGACGCUGAGGAGCGAAAGCGUGGGGAGCGAACAGG
rnacentral:rRNA from 1 species